AUGUAUGGGUAUAUACACAUGGAGGACAUUUCUGACAUCCCACCACAAUGGCAAGCGAUCCCCGCUCAAUUCGAGGGUGACCUCUCCGCGCAGCCGGCGGUGUCCCCAGCCCCUCUGCCUGUGCCGUUCCCUGCUCCAGCUGCUGAGCUCCUCGCAUGUCCUUGCUCUGGGACACUGCCUCGGCUCUGUUUGGAGGGGAUGCUGAGCCCUGCAGGUCCCUAUCCAGACUGGGCCGGUGCUGCAGGACACCAAGGCUCUUGUGGUGGUGGCUGGAGCUGGGAUCUUCAGGACUUUUCCCAUUCCUCCUUCAACACAUGUGCGUGGGCCUCCCCACCCACGGUGCUCCGCUGCACUGCUACGAGGAGGCUCGGCAGGGAAAUCCCUGCCAUUAGGACACAGCUCCCCCGAAAUCCGAUGGGCCGUGUCCUCGGCUGCUGCCUCCCAUGGUCAGCAUGGCAGGGCACGCUCCUGCCCUCUGAUCUCCCCCGGAGUGAAGCGGAGCACACAUUGCCUGUCAGCGGAGCAAAGUGCACAGAAACCCCCCCGGGAUGUCCCCCGACUGCCCACGGCAGCACACAGCCCGGCUGCAGCAGCGGUGUCACGCAGCACAGGUGGCGUUUGCUCUGUUCCAGCUGUCCCUGGGGUCACCCUGUGCCUGGGGGGCUCUUGGCUCCCCUCUGCCAUGCUGGGCAUGGGGGGGCGAGCAGGACCCCGGCACUGGGGUCAGUGCUGCUCUGUGGUUCUUUGCUCUGCUGUAUUUUUAACUUUUGCAUCUACCUGACAUUUUAUGGCCAGACGAUGUUACAAGGGACAAGUGCUAUCCAUUACACACUGGAACAAGCUCUUGCUCACUGCCUCACAGCUCCUGGGACACAAUGCCCCUGUGGCCCCACGGGCCUGGUGCUGGCUGCCCCGCACAGCAGGGACACCCCGGCAUCCGAGCAAGUGUCACCAGGCACAGAAACGUCCCUCACAUCCAGCCAGCCCCGGGAGAAGAACAAUGACAUUAAAUGA
rnacentral:lncRNA from 1 species